CCUUCUUUUCCCCCUUCUCUUCCUUUUCCUUGCCUAACCCUCGUUCCCUACUCACUCUCUCUUUUUCCUUCCUUGCUGACUCUAGGUAGUGGUGAAAGCAAUCUGGAUUGCUAGUUAUUGUUCAGAGCCUCCUUUUCUUCCCUUCGGUUAUUCAAGUUCAUUCCUUCUUCACUUUCGUUCUCCUCUUCUCGGAAACUCGGAAAACUUUGCUCAAGAACAAGGAUAGGUUGUGACUGGUAGUGAAGCUGUAGCUGACUGAUGGAGCUGAUCUUCUUGGGAUAUUUGUCUUUUGUUGUUUAGCUACUUAAUGUAAUAACUGAAUUGAUGUAUCUUUUUGUACACUUUAACUCUAGUCAGACUAGAACUUUGUAUAUUUAUAUAUUCUAGAUCCUAUAUUUAUAUA